rnacentral:rRNA from 1 species
CGGGGAGCAACAGGCGCGAAACCUCUGCAAUAGGCGAAAGCCUGACAGGGUUAUUCUGAGUGACUUUCGCUAAGAAAGUCUUUUGACAUCUCUAAAAAUGGUGUAGAAUAAGGGGUGGGCAAGUCUGGUGUCAGCCGCCGCGGUAAUACCAGCACCCCGAGUGGUCGGGACGAUUAUUGGGCCUAAAGCAUCCGUAGCCGGUUUUACAAGUCCUCCGUUAAAUCCAACUGCUUAACAGAUGGGCCGCGGAGGAUACUAUAAGACUAGGAGGCAGGAGAGGCAAGCGGUACUCAGUGGGUAGGGGUAAAAUCCGUUGAUCCAUUGAAGACCACCAGUGGCGAAGGCGGCUUGCCAGAAUGCGCUCGACGGUGAGGGAUGAAAGCUGGGGGAGCAAACCGGAUUAGAUACCCGGGUAGUCCCAGCUGUAAACGAUGCAGACUCGGUGAUGGACUAGCUUAAUGCUAGUCCAGUGCCGCAGGGAAGCCGUUAAGUCUGCCGCCUGGGUAGUACGGUCGCAAGACUGAAACUUAAAGGAAUUGGCGGGGGAGCA